rnacentral:rRNA from 1 species
GUGGGGAAUUUUGGACAAUGGGCGCAAGCCUGAUCCAGCAAUGCCGCGUGCAGGAAGAAGGCCUUCGGGUUGUAAACUGCUUUUGUACGGAACGAAACGGUCCUGGUUAAUACCUGGGGCUAAUGACGGUACCGUAAGAAUAAGCACCGGCUAACUACGUGCCAGCAGCCGCGGUAAUACGUAGGGUGCGAGCGUUCAUCGGAAUUACUGGGCGUAAAGCGUGCGCAGGCGGUGCUGUAAGACAGGCGUGAAAUCCCCGGGCUCAACCUGGGAAUUGCGCUUGUGACUGCAGUGCUGGAGUACGGCAGAGGGGGAUGGAAUUCCGCGUGUAGCAGUGAAAUGCGUAGAUAUGCGGAGGAACACCGAUGGCGAAGGCAGUCCCCUGGGCCUGUACUGACGCUCAUGCACGAAAGCGUGGGGAGCAAACAGGAUUAGAAACCCCUGUAGUCC